AAGUGGCUCUAUCGGUUUUCCACUAAGGAGUAGGGGGUACGUAUACAGUUAUUGCAAAACAGGUACCUAUAUUCCGAGACCUUAUCUCAGGUAACGACACAACCAAAUGAUUCACCCUUUCGAAAGAGUUUAAUGAGAAUUAAGAUAGCCUUCUUUAAUAGGGGUAACUUUAUUAUUGGAGAUGGGUGCACAACUCGGUUUUGGGAGGAGAUACCUUUUUUUUUCAUUUUCUGUUUCUUUUUUUUUCUUUCUCAGUUUGUCUUUCUUUUCUUUUUUCAUUUGCUUUUUCUUUGUGUCUUUCUUUGUUUUUAUCAGUUUUUGUUCAUUUUUGGUUUUUCUUUAUCUCUUUUGAUUUUUAUUCUACAUUUUUCAUAUAUGUCAAGAACAUUUUUCUAA
rnacentral:rRNA from 1 species